GCACGAAAGUUAGCCGUCCCUUCCUCUUCGGGUACUAUCAACCCUGUCGGCUAUUUACCGCCAGGUCUUACUCCCCGAUGACAGGAGUUUACAAUCCGAAGACCUUCAUCCUCCACGCGGCGUUGCACCAUCAGGGUUUCCCCCAUUGUGAAUUAUUCUCGA
rnacentral:rRNA from 1 species